AGACACCCUUAUAGGACAAGACUUGCUUCAGUGAGGCUUCCGUGCUCACUGAGUCUGUUCCCUGAGUGUGUCCCU
rnacentral:pre_miRNA from 1 species